UACAAAAAAAUCAGCCUGAGGGAUUACAGCUGAAGUAGCUUUCUUUAGUUUCUGAGACUGUGGUGAAGCAGGUCUCAUAUUCUUAGGAAGAGAUUGGUGGCUGCGUAAACAUUCAGUCUGGAAGCCUACAGACUGGAUGAGCAGUUCAUUAGAAAAACUGGAUUGAAUGAGGAAGAUCCAGAAGGACUAGGAAAAAGCUGGCCAGGGCUCAGGAUUCUAAAGAGUCCUAAUAUGGGCAAAAUAUCGGGCUCUUUCAAGAUGCACAUUCUGUAAAUUGAAAAGGUUUUCUUUAUCGGAUAUCAUGGAAUGUUGGCUCUAGAAACAAAGGAUUUCUGCUGUUAUCUGGAAUUUUUUUCUGAUUCAACUCCCGUUACUACCAGAAGGAAUCCUACUCUGCUGGGCCCUUCAGCAUGGCCCUUAACCUGAAAACUGCUCCAGAGGCGCUGUGCAAUGGCUGACCCUGCACUCUAACCUCCUCUAACCUCAUGCCAAAAGACAAUUUCCCCUUGAGGAUUAAUAAAGCAUGUCUAAAUAAAAAAAAAAAAUCUAAAUAUGUGUAUGAUUCUAAUAUCCCCGUUAAGCUUCUGGAAUGAUGUAAAUAUUUUUAUUAAUAUGUCUUUGUUUUAUCAUGACUCAAUUUUGUUUAACAUGGGCAAUACUAUUUUGUGGAUCUACGGCUACAAAAUGCUGUGUGGUUGUUGAGGGCAGGUUUCCUGAAGUUGUGCAUUGUGACGUCAUCAGCGCAAUACUUUAAAUAACCAGUGCCAAAUGCCUUAUGCCUCAGUGAUUAUGAAUAUAAAGAAAAGAGCUUAGUGUAAUUCUAGGUGUGUGUUUGGUUACGACUACUUGCUGGCAUCUGUUUAGACUAUGAUUUUGGAUUUGGGUUUUGGCUUACUGGUUUAGACUUUCAGCCCACUUUAACAACAGAUUCCCUCUAUACAGUAUUAUUCUACUUCAUUUCAGUCAGGCAUUACAAGUAAGGGGUCCAGUUAACAUCAAGCAAUUGGUUUGAGCAAAUACCUGUGCUCACUGUGGCCCUCCUUGGAUUGAGUUAAGUAGCUAUUAAUUCCCAGCCUGAAAAAAAAAAAUUUAAUGUGUACUUAAAUAUUACACACUAUUUGAGCUAAGAGACCAGCCAUCAUUCAAAUCAAAAAGCUGUUUACAUCCCUGGUUCAAGUAUGUUUUUUGUUAUUUUUCAAAUGUUAUUUUCUUUAUUAUCUCAUUAAUUCUAUUUUUGCCUUUAUUCUGUCUGCAUUUUAUUUUAUUAAUGUGGCAUUCAUGCAGAGCCUCAAGGGGCAGGGUCUCCAAAUAUUGGGCCAGUAAUUAAAACGAAGCUGCAGAUGUAAUGGCUGCUUUGGUGUUGCAGUUUUGAUCUUGAUUCCUCUCUUCUAAUUUUGGGCCUUUUUUCAAUAUUUGGAUUUUCUAAAUUUGAUGCCUGGCUCUUGUAUUAAGGUACUGUGAUUUGAAUUUGGAUUUUUUGCCUUUAGCUUUUACCUUUUUAGACAAAACCUAUUUUGGUUUCUUUGUUGUGCUUUGAGUUUUUUGUGCUCCCCUUUAACUAUUUAAAUCCUUAAAAAAUAGUCUUUUAAAUAUAAAGAUAUUUUUUUGUCUUUGGACCAGAGGUGUUUUAUUAACCGUUUACUCUUUAAUCCGAUUAAGGAGGGGCCAAAAACCAUCCUGGCACCACUAGGCUUAAAUCAGUAGCCUUCACUGAAUUAGGUCCUGGCACACUCACUCUGACCAGAUCAUAUGAGAGUUCUUAAGGAAAGUGACAGGAAUAGGGACAGGACCCAACAUCGUCCUAAGACAGGAAAACCAGUGCAGGCAUGAGGUAUAUAAAUCACAUGCCAGUGUGAGAAGGGCUCCACUGGGACUUAGUAAACCAAAUACAGGAGGCAGAGAAAGCAAAUUGUAAUCUUGGAGGAAACAUACAAACAUAGACACUAAAUAACAGGUGACCUAGCAGAAGUCAAAAAUGCCUGAUUUCCUGACUAAGAGAGAAUGCAAACAGUUUACAAGAGGUAAAAAUUCCUCUGGAUUCGUACUUCACUUUUUCAGAGUUAGGAUGGUGUUGAUCUUUUAAAGGUCAGGACUGGCAUGUAUCCAGCCAUAAAUCUCCAUCCCAUUAGAAAGUUACAGCUGUUCUUUACAAAAUAAGAGUUUAAACAAUCUAUGUGAUUUUGAAUCAAAACAGUGAUCAGGUAUAACAGGUUUCAAUGCACUAGAUAAGCAAGGAAGUAGGGAAAUUCAAACUCAUAAUCAGGAAGCAAGCAAAAAAAGUCAAAUAUACAACCUAAAGCAGAAAAUAAAUUGCUAGAUAAAGUAGCUUUUUCAUAUUUUCAUUAUUUAGAACAAAAUGCACACAGCUUGUUCUUCUAAACAUUUCCAACAUGACCACAUAGCUGUUAUGAUUUUUGUUUUUAAAACAUAUACAUUAAUUCUAAA